GGAAUAUUGCGCAAUGGACGAAAGUCUGACGCAGCAACGCGGCGUGCGGGAAGAAGGGCUUCGGCUCGUAAACCGCUUUUCUGCGGGAAGAGCAAGGACGGUACCGCAGGAAUAAGUCCCGGCGAACUACGUGCCAGGAGCCGCGGUAAAACGUCGGAGGCGAACGUUAUCCGGAUUUACUGGGCGUAAAGCCCGUGCAGGUGGUCUGUUAAGUCGUGCGUGAAAGCUCCCUGGCUCAACCGGGAGAGGUCGUGCGAUACUGACGGACUGGAGACAGAGAGAGGCAAGUGGAAUUCCGGGUGUAGUGGUGAAAUGCGUAGAUAUCCGGAGGAACACCAGUGGCGAAGGCGGCUUGCUGGCUCUGUUCUGACACUCAGACGCGAAAGCAUGGGGAGCGAAC
rnacentral:rRNA from 1 species